rnacentral:rRNA from 1 species
UACGUAGGAGGCGAGCGUUGUCCGGAUUUACUGGGCGUAAAGCGCGCGCAGGCGGCACACUAAGUACGAUGUGAAAUCUCCCUGCUCAACGGGGAGGGUGCAUAGUAAACUGGUGAGCUAGAGGACGGUAGAGGGGGGUGGAAUUGCUGGUGUAGCGGUGAAAUGCGUAGAGAUCAGCAGGAACACCCGUGGCGAAGGCGGCCCCCUGGGCCGAACCUGACGCUGAGGAGCGAAAGCAUGGGUAGCGAACAGG